GAAUGGGCAUCCCACCCCAGCACUUUCUAGGAAGAAGGGCAACAUUUUGAAGGGCUGGAAGUAGAGAAAGAAGGUUGCGGGUAGAAGACUCCAUACUUUCUGUGACGCCUAUUCCUUAGGAAUCAAGCCUAUCUGUAAUCACAGGGCUAUUUGAAAAAGAGAAGAAAAGGUGUCUUGAAAUUAAACCAACAUGUUUCAAUUAUUUGCUCCUAAGAACAACAGAAGUUUCAACAUUCUGCCAACACAGUAACUCCUGGGAGAUUGGCACAGAAGAAGGCACAAGGAGAGCUUUUAUAUAACCAAAGAUAUUUUUGGACCAUGAAUUCGGAAAUUCUCGGAGCCACCCAUCAAUGCCUGAGCUUCAGUGAGUCCAUAUCCCAUGUCACCUACGGCAAAGGAGAAUCUGAGACUUCUGAAGAGUUUCUUGCUUCUUUCCUGUGGGGCAGUGACUCCACUUCCCAGCAGUAAUGGAAUAUCCUGAAUUAGCUACAUUAAUGUUAGAACCAUUUGGACCUCACCCAGGACUUCAACUACAUUGUGGUUCUAGUAUGUUAGGUUUAUGUUCCCCUGCUUUCUACAAUCCUGUUCAAAGAGUUGCUGACUUAACCACAGAGAGAAUUCCAGAACAUGAGACACAGAAUAAACUUGAACAAUCAUAGUCCAUCCACUUCAUUUUCUCAUCGAAAACCAAAGGUCCAGUGAGGCUCUGGAACUCGACGCUGUAAAGGAGCGAAGGAGCAUCUAUACAGA
rnacentral:antisense_RNA from 1 species